GGCCAGACUCCUACGGGAGGCAGCAGUGGGGGAUAUUGCACAAUGGGGGGAACCCUGAUGCAGCGACGCCGCGUGAGCGAUGAAGUAUUUCGGUAUGUAAAGCUCUAUCAGCAGGGAAGAAAAUGACGGUACCUGACUAAGAAGCCCCGGCUAACUGCGUGCCAGCAGCCGCGGUAAUACGUAGGGGGCAAGCGUUAUCCGGAUUUACUGGGUGUAAAGGGAGCGUAGACGGCAUGGCAAGCCAGAUGUGAAAUACCGGGGCUCAACCCCGGGACUGCAUUUGGAACUGUUAAGCUGGAGUGUCGGAGAGGCAGGCGGAAUUCCUAGUGUAGCGGUGAAAUGCGUAGAUAUUAGGAGGAACACCAGUGGCGAAGGCGGCCUGCUGGACGACAACUGACGGUGAGGCGCGAAAGCGUGGGGAGCAAACAGGAUUAGAUACCCCUGUAC
rnacentral:rRNA from 1 species